UGACGAGUUUGAUCCUGGCUCAGGAUGAACGCUAGCGGCAGGCUUAACACAUGCAAGUCGAGGGGUAUAGUUCUUCGGAGCUAGAGACCGGCGCACGGGUGCGUAACGCGUAUGCAAUCUACCUUUUACAGGGGAAUAGCCCAGAGAAAUUUGGAUUAAUGCCCCAUAGUAUAUAUCAUUCGCAUGUUUGAUAUAUUAAAGUUCCAACGGUAAAAGAUGAGCAUGCGUCCCAUUAGCUAGAUGGUAAGGUAACGGCUUACCAUGGCUACGAUGGGUAGGGGUCCUGAGAGGG
rnacentral:rRNA from 1 species